rnacentral:lncRNA from 1 species
UAUAAUAGAAAUAUUUUGAUACAAAAAAAGAAGUCGAAAUAUAAAAAUGAAUCUAGGGAGUGUGUUUUCUUUUGUGUUAUUGAUGGUCUUGGCUAUUGGAGGAAAUUUUGUUGAAGGUACUCAGAUUAUUAUUACAUGUGAUCCUGUUGCAUGCGCAAAAACAUGCCAACAAGCCUAUGGUUCAAGGCUAAUUAAAUCUUAUUGUAAGCCUAUACCAUUUGGAGAUGCAAAAGCUUGUGUAUGUGAACACAAUCCGUCUAUUCUUAAAAAAUCACGAAAAAGUUUAUUUCCAUGAUUCAUGUAGAACAGUCAAUUGAAAGAGAGUUAAUAUGCAUAAUUACCUUGCUAUUUUCUCUGCAAUAGCUGGC